GACGAACGCUGGCGGCGUGCUUAACACAUGCAAGUCGAACGGAAAGGCCCUGCUUGCAGGGUACUCGAGUGGCGAACGGGUGAGUAACACGUGGGUGAUCUGCCCUGCACUUCGGGAUAAGCCUGGGAAACUGGGUCUAAUACCGGAUAGGAGCCAUUUUUAUUGUGAUGGUUGGAAAGUUUUUUCGGUGUAGGAUGAGCUCGCGGCCUAUCAGCUUGUUGGUGGGGUAAUGGCCUACCAAGGCGGCGACGGGUAGCCGGCCUGAGAGGGUGGACGGCCACAUUGGGACUGAGAUACGGCCCAGAAUCCGACGGGAGGCAGCAGGGGGGAAUAUUGCACAAGGGGCGCAAGCCUGAUGCAGCGACGCCGCGUGGGGGAUGACGGCCUUCGGGUUGGAAACUCCUUUCGCUAGGGACGAAGCUUUUUGUGACGGUACCUAGAUAAGAAGCACCGGCUAACUACGUG
rnacentral:rRNA from 1 species